AAAGACGAAAUAAAAACACGAAAAAUACUUCUAAAAAUUCGGAGGCGCUUAACUUGAAAUUUUCCUCUGUUUUCCUUCUACUUUCUUCUCCCUUUUCCCUCGAUCAUCCAGUGCACUCCGUCAUUGCCUACACCCCCGUCGCCUGUUCCAAAUCAUCGUUGCCCACUUAGCCGACCAAUGUUUCGCCGCUGUACCCGCCAGGCCGCCUAUUUCCCUGCUUCGCCGCGCCACAGUUGCUCCUGAUCCAGCAGGCCACCGCUAGUUCGUCAGCUCGUCAUCUUUGCCACCGCCCUACUUCGCCACUGCUACUGCCCGCCGCCAAUCCGCCCAGCCGACUAUCCCUGCUUCAAGCCGCCCAGGUAGCUUCUUUCUUCUCUUUUAAUUUUAUUUAUUUAUUAUUAUUGUUAUUAUUAUUAUUAUUUUAUUCUUUCUUUUUAGAUUACUUUGGCUUACCUUUUAUUUUGCAGCUCAUUAUUUUUCGGUAACUAUUCGGAGUUCUCGUUGCCAGAAACCGAAGCACUUUGAAUUAUGGGACGACCAAACGUGCCAGUACAAAAAACCAAAGGAAACAGAGAAUAAAAUUUUCUGGAGAAGUUUUUAUAUUUUUUUCUAUAAUUUAUUAUUAUUAUUACUAUUAUGAAUUGGG
rnacentral:lncRNA from 1 species